CACGUAGGGGGCAAGCGUUACCCGGAUUUACUGGGUGUAAAGGGAGCGUAGACGGCAUGGCAAGUCAGAUGUGAAAGCCCGGGGCUCAACCCCGGGACUGCAUUUGAAACUGUCAGGCUGGAGUGCAGGAGAGGUAAGCGGAAUUCCUAGUGUAGCGGUGAAAUGCGUAGAUAUUAGGAGGAACACCAGUGGCGAAGGCGGCUUACUGGACUGUAACUGACGUUGAGGCUCGAAAGCGUGGGGAGCAAACAGG
rnacentral:rRNA from 1 species